ensembl:snRNA Gm22970 U2 spliceosomal RNA
UUGACUUCUUGGCCUUUCGGCUGAGAUCAAGUGCAUUCUCUGUUCUUAUCAACGGAGUACGUGAUGUGUCCCCUGUCCAAGGACAAACAAAUGGAAUGGAUUUUUGGAGCAGAAAGAUAGAACGGAGGAUGUUCAUUCCACUCAUCAGUCUGGUGGUGUGAUUUCUCCUGAAAUGGCCCACACCCUCU